GUCGUGAUCCCCUAAUGGUUAGGACAUUGCGUUGUGGCCUCAAUAACCCAGGUUCGAAUCCUGGUCAUGGCA
rnacentral:tRNA from 1 species